AGCUCAAUGGUGGAGUCCAUGAUAGAGGUCAUCGCUAACUUCCAACCAACUUGUCUCCAAUCUUUAACAUUAUCGACUUGUGAAUCAGCCAUUUCAUUUCCGGGUGGUCGUUUACCUGCAUCACUGUAGACUCUGAAUAUCUUGGGUCUUAGAAGACUAGAAUUCCAGACGCAAAACAAACAUGAAUUACUAGGAUCAGUGUCGAUAUGGGGUUGUGAUUCGCUCACAUCAUUUCCAUUGGUUACCUUUCCGAAUCUCAAAUGUCUCACAAUUGAAAACUGUGAAAAUAUGGAAUUUCUUUUGGUUUCGGUGUCAGAGUCGCCUAAAAAUCUGAGUUCUUUGGAGAUUCACAACUGCCCCAACUUUGUUUUAUUUGUUAGUGAAGGAUUGUCUGCGCCCAGUUUAACUUGUUUUAUAGUUGAGAAUUGUAGCAAGUUGAAGUCGUUGCCUGAUCAGAUGAGUAGUCUUCUCCCAAAGUUAGAACAUCUUGGCAUAUACGAGUGCCCGGAUAUUGAGUCAUUUCCAGAAGACCAUGUAAUGGCAUCAAGGAGGGAAUGCUGCCUUUUUCCCUUUCAUCUGAGUCUAUUUGGGUUUUCAAGUAUGGUGACAUUGGACUGCAAGUGUCUUCUCCAUUUCACAUCCCUCCAAAAAUUAGAAAUUCCUAGUUGUCAAAAGCUGCCUGAUUCUCUAAUAAAACUAAGCAUAUUGUCAUGUCCUUUGCUGCAAAAACGCAUACUGCACCGUCAUAUUUGGCCUAUAAUUUCCCAUAUCAGUGGCAUUUAUGUUGACGGAAAAUGAGUUUAGUAACCAAGGAUGAUCACCAGAACCGCAAGAAAGGGAGUCAUACAUUCAAUGCUUUUGAUGCACAAGAUCAGAGUGGAGUGAUGUGCUUUAAUCAGUGUGAAAGGGUUCCAUAAUGUCCUCAGAGACAAAUAUGAAACUUCCAGAAGAGAAGCUUGAGCACCUUUGCAGUCAUAAGCUUCACAAUACGGAGUGAGUUCUGGCAAGUCAUUUUGAAUCCAAACUUUGAACUCAGGUAGUUUGAAGGAUGCAUGUAGCUGAUUGGAAACACAACUUCUGACUAGCUGGACAUUCCAACAUAAUACAAUUUUAUGGUAGCAAAACAGAUGGAGACUGAAUCUCAUAUAUGUGGAACCUGUCCAUCUCUGCACUCUGUUUCACAAAUUUUAUUGUAAAAAAUUUCUCUUGCCUAAAUUAGAAUGUCUAUAUCCUAAUCUUUUUUAAAAUUUUGAGCUUAUCCUGCGAAGAGGGAUUUGUUUGUAAGUUGUCAAGUGAGAAACUGAUGUCAAAUUUCCACCAGAGAAGCUUGGGCACCUUUGAAGUUUUGGCUUCAUUGUAUGGAGUCAGUUCUGGCAAAUCAUUUUGAGUCUACACAAGAGCCCGGGAGAUUACAAGGAUUCAUUAGACUGAUGGUUGCUUUAUCAGAUCUAAAUGGCAGUCAAGUACAUUCUUGGGAUGAAACUCCCAUCACAACAAAACUGAGAGUUUCAGUUUCCCCAAGAUGGAAUGAUAUGUUCUCUAGAAUUCGAGGACUAGAGAGAGCUUCCUGCUGCUAAAUUAAGAUAGAAAACUGAUUUUAUUGGUCUGCCUCCCUUCAUUACAUUAGGUCCUAAUUUAUAAUAGCUAGUAAUGAUUCUGCACUAACAGGCAAGUAACAGAAUUGCCAAUACAAGGAACAUUGUCUAACAGAAAAAACAAUGCCAAAACAAACAAGUGGCAGAAUGCAUGUUUCCUACCCCUCUAAGCAACAUUUCCACUAACUGAUUUGUUAAACAAAAUCUUGUAAAUAUUUGGGUGGCACGAUCUUCCUCUUGGGUCUCUCUGCUGGUUUUGCAUUCCCUAUCAUGGAAGCUUGAGGAAUAUACGGCAGAUGUGACAUUUUCCUCUGCUUCUCAUUCAGACACUCAAGUAUCUAAACCUAGCAUUUUCAUAAUACACCUUUUGGUCGGAUGCAUAAGAGACCAGCUAAGAACCCCUGACUACUAAAUCUAUUACAAUUCUUAUUC